UUGCUCUCGUCUUCCCCGGUUCAGGUCUACUUCACUGCCACCUCCUUCCUCCCUCCCGAGCCGCCUCCCCACCAUCCUGCUGGCGAUCGCGCCCUCGGCGGCGACGGCAAAACCGCACGGUGGAUGCGGCGAAUGAUGAUCCCUAGAGAGCUGCGGCGGCAGGAGCUCCCGCCCGACUCCUGAUCCCGACCCCACCGCCGAUCGCAGCCGCAAUGGCCCAGGUUAGUUGGUUGCCUCGGAUUCGGGUAGGUGUCAACUUCUCGGAUUUGAGUGGAUAAUAAUAUUGUUUGCUGCUCGAUUGGGUUCGUCGGGUGUCAUCAUAUUCCCGCUGAUUGUUUGCUGCUAUGCAAUGGCACCAUGGUCGGGUUCGUCGCCUAUCCCAAGGCCAACAGAAAGGCGUGCAAGAACUUCAACGAUUUUGACAUCUCCUACAAGGCCAAGCCGGGCGUGUUCCCCACUUUCUUGCUCGUCAACAGGGGAGUGGGAGGCCUGAUUAUUUAGAGAAUAUCACUAUUCCUUCAGCGUUGAUAACCAAAAGUUUUGGGGGCAUGCUCAAGAACGCAAUUGAUCAUGGUGACAUUGUUAAUACUUGAUAAGAAGGGCUAAACCUUUCCCUGCAUGUAGCAUAGCCCUGACAAGCUAAACCUUUCCUUAUUCUGUUCUUGCAACUUGCAACAGUGCACAGUGGCCAAAUUAUUUCUAUGCGGGGAUCUCUCAUUCAAUAAGGACCUUGGUGGCGUGCUCACUCCAACGAUCGGAAACGUGAAGCAGCUUACCACCUUGAUUUCGGCCGGUUGCAGUUUCCAUGGCACCAUCCCGGAUGAGCUGGGGAGUUUGCCAAAGUUAUCCUACAUGGCAUUGAACUCAAACCAGUUCUCUGGAAAAAUACCAGCUUCACUGGGAAAUCUCUUCAGCCUCUAUUGGUUUGAUAUUGCCGACAGUCAAAUAGUCAAUUUAGUGGUCCGUAGUGGUGUCUCAGUUACGAAUUCCGUGCUGCUGCAUUCAGAUUGGUUCCAAGGCAGACUUGCUUACACAGAAGUGUGACGCUCGGGUAGGAUGUAUCGUAGGACUUGGGGAUCACCGCUCCAUGAAUAUUCUCAUUGAUCAAGAUACGGCCGAGAUUGUACACAUUGAUCUUGGUGUUUCAUUUGAACAGGGUCUCAUGCUUAAAACUCAUGAACGGGUAUGCUAUCAAGCAUUAUAUUUUUCCUGAACUUUUGGGCUCUGGUUCCAUUUCAGCUGAUGUGGGACAUUAUAGAUGGCAUGGGUAUUACUGGCGUUCAAGAUGUGUUUAAAAGAUGUUGUGAGAAAACUCUUUCAUGAGAGAAAACUCUUUCUGUCACUAUUAUCUUAGUUUUCAUCCAUGAUCCUCUGUACAAAUGGCCCCUCUCAUCACUGAAAGCUUUACAACGUCAAAAGGUAACUAAAACUUAAAUAAAUUUCUAGAAUGUUGUUGGACUUGCUCCUACAGUCCUCCAGUUGUCCAGCACAGCUCAUAUAACUAGAAGUUACUGGUAUGAUCAGUAGCAGCCGGUAUUAGGGAUAUGUAUAUUUAAUUUUAUCAAACAUAGUCACAUUGCGCUAAAUUCCCUGACUUAUGUCUAAGUGUUUUUAUCAAGAUGAGAUCACCCAAAGGCUAAGAAAAAUCCAAAGACCUGAUGAAGAAAAGGAAGAAUGGAAGGAAACAGAUGAUACUGAUUCAUAUUUGGAUUACUCCCAAAAGGUUUGUGAGGGCAACAAAGAUGCAGCUGUGCUGUGCUCCGUGUUAAAUAGAAGUUGGAUGGAUAUGAAGGCUGUUCACCAAACUUUUUUCUAAGGAUAUUUGAAAUGUUCGGUACUCGCUAUUCUAAAACAGGUUCUGAUAGUACCCCAUGCGGACCGUCUGUCGACCACAGUCUAAUAGUACCCCAUGUUACGUAAUGUAACUAAGCUCUGUAUUAUGUGGACCGUCUAUCUACCACAGUUGCUACUAAUGUGGAUUUACCUGUACGCGCAAUUUACUUGAUAA